rnacentral:tRNA from 1 species
ACUCGAAUAGCUUAAAUUUAAAGCAAAGUAUUGAAGAUACUUGUAUAAGGGCUACCUUUUCGAGUA